AACCCCGCCCAUAGGUCAGAUCCCUAUAUUUUUACCUAAAAUAUAAAUGAAAAUAUAACUUUUCGAAUGAAUAAAUAGAAAAUGGAAUAAAAGCUGCUAUUGGAAAUUUGAAUUACUAUUUAAAUAAACAGCGGAGAAAUAUUCCACCAGAUAACUGUCAGGUACUACAUUUUUCGGGUCUGGUAGUAACUUGCUUAAUGGUGGUGCUAGGUGAUGGUCAAGUUGGAAUAAGACAUCAUUCAUCAUGUCAAUAUGAAUGAAGUUGUAAUGAUAGCAGUAGAUGAAGUUGGUCCAGCAAGUUCAACUAGAGAUGAGCAAGUUCAACUAGGGAUUGUCUUUCUUUGAAAUAACGCUCAUAAAUCAUCAGUGAUGAUAGUACUUUGAUACCAUUGGAUGAAAAUAAAGUAGAAGAAAAAAGCUCAAGUCUAUAAUGGUUGAAGAAGAAAAUUCACAGCAAACUAUUGAGGACGAUUCAAGUAUAUAACAGAUACAAGAAUAAUUUCAGAUGGUAUUCCUUCUCCAUUAAAAAUGCUCUUUGAUGGCUAGAAGAUAAUCAAAAAAUAAGACUGAAUCAAAUACUAGAAAAAAAGCUGUCAAAGAAAAAGUACCAUCAAUUGUUACGUCAGAUAAAUAGGUAUUAGGUAGCUUAUCAACGUACGAAAAUCAAAUAGAAAGUCGGGCUAUCAUGAAACAAAGCUGUCAAUAUCGAGCUCAUAAAUUUAUUACUUAUAGCCGCUAGAUUUUUUACUUAGCUGUAAUUAUAGCGAAACAAUCAAUAUCUACAUUAUUUUACCAGCAAAAUUUUUUCCUUAGCUGUAAUUGUAGCCAAAUAAUCAAUAUCUACAUUACUUUACUUAGCUAGAUUUUUGACUCAGAUGUAAUUGUAUCCAAAUAAUCAAUAUGUGCAUUAUUUUACCAGAAAAAUUUUUUACUUAGCCAUAAUUAUAGCCAUAAAAUCAAUAUCUGCAUUAUUUUACUAGCGAAAUUUUUUGACUUGGCCGCUAGAUUUUUUACUUAGCUUUAAUCUGACGAGAUAUAUAUAAAGGGAGGGGGUAUUCAAAACAAAAGUAGGGGAAUAUUAGAAAGAGAGCGUUCGGAGUGAACUCUGAUUUUUUUUUAGCCUUAAUCCGGCUAUGGAGCGAACUUGGUACCAGCCGAAAUAAUAGAACAAGAAAAAAUUAGUGAUGCGAUAGAAGAGAGAUUUCGAGACGAGACGAGACAGGGGUGACGAGAGACGAUAAAAUUUGAGACGAGACUGAUGUCGAUAUGCGAGAAAAAAGUCGAGAGUUAAAUAAUUUAGUUCGUGUUUUUAUUUUUUUAAAUUUUUAUAUAUUUUCAAUUUACUUAUUAUACAUUUCUAACCCGUUGUAAAUUACAUGUUUUUAUACUUUAUACACUUUCAUAAUUUUGUUCAAUCUACCCUGGUAGAAAUAAUCUCUCCGGAUUUCUCAGGAUUUUCUCGGAAUUUUUCCGGAUUUUCUACGCAAUUGAGACUUCCGGAGAUAUUAUUCCGGAGUUUUUUCGGAUUUCCUCCAGGUUUUAUUGGAUUUUCUCCAGAUUUUUUUGGAAAAAAUUCCUUUUUUAUUUUUCGUAUGUAAACUCUUAUUUCUAGUUUUUUUAUUGAUAUUUCCAUUUUUUUUUUGUUUGUUUUUUUAAACGAAAAUUCCGGAAAAAAUCCGGAGAUAUAAUGAAAAUAGUCUAGAGAUUACUCCGUAAAUAUUUCCGGAAGUCUCAAUUACGCACUGAGAAAAAUAUCCUGCGAUUUUUACACAGAUUAUUGUAAAAUUUGGAAAAUCUGCGAAAUACACCAUAAUUUUGUGUAAUUUUUCCAUAAAUAAAAAAUGAUUCUACGUUAUCUGAUGAAUCCCAUAAAAUUUUCAUUGACUAUAUUGUAAGAUUUAUUAUUUUUAAAUGAAAACUUAUUUCAUAUAAAAAAAUGUAAAGUUUGCAUUGAAAGAAAAAUAAAUAUUGUAAUAUUUUAUUGUUAAUUUUACAUUUUUUUAAGAGAAAUACCGAUUAUUCCGAGAAAAUGAAACACCAGAAUAAUUAAAUAGAAUUCAUCUUAUUUAUUGUAAAAUUUACCGAAAAAACAUGAAAAGAAAACAUUUAUUCAGUGAACUUUUUGAUUUACGUCGUUGGAACGUAUAAUUUACACUUUUUCCGUAGAAAUGUUGUGACGUACACAUUGCUCCCAUUCUUGCUUUUUUGUCGAAAUGUUUCUUUGCCAAAUAAAUUAAUACGUAGUUUGAAUUACUUUUACAGCCAUAUGACACAA